rfam:Aedes albopictus isolate Foshan contig10393, whole genome shotgun sequence.
UAGCCUAAAGGUAAGGGCUAUGGAUCACCAAUCCAGCGACGGCGGGUUCGAUUCCCGU